UGAGUAACAUGUAGGUAUCUACCCUUUGGCCUGGAAUAACACGAGGAAACUUGUGCUAAUACCGGAUAAGUCUUUACGGAGAAAGCUUUAUGCACCAUUGGAUGAGCCUGCACUUGAUUAGUUUGUUGGUGGGGUAAUGGCCUACCAAGACUGUGAUCAAUAGCUGAUUUGAGAGGAUGAUCAGCCACAUUGGGACUGAGACACGGCCCAAACUCCUACGGGAGGCAGCAGUGGGGAAUCUUGCACAAUGGAGGAAACUCUGAUGCAGCGAUGCCGCGUGAGUGAAGAAGGCCUUUGGGUUGUAAAGCUCUUUCGUCGGGGAAGAAAAUGACUGUACCCGAAUAAGAAGGUCCGGCUAACUUCGUGCCAGCAGCCGCGGUAAUACGAAGGGACCUAGCGUAGUUCGGAAUUACUGGGCUUAAAGAGUUCGUAGGUGGUUGAAAAAGUUGGUGGUGAAAUCCCAGAGCUUAACUCUGGAACUGCCAUCAAAACUUUUCAGCUAGAGUAUGAUAGAGGAAAGCAGAAUUUCUAGUGUAGAGGUGAAAUUCGUAGAUAUUAGAAAGAAUACCAAUUGCGAAGGCAGCUUUCUGGAUCAUUACUGACACUGAGGAACGAAAGCAUGGGUAGCGAAGAGGAUUAGAUACCCUCGUAGUCCAUGCCGUAAACGAUGUGUGUUAGACGUUGGAAAUUUAUUUUCAGUGUCGCAGCGAAAGCGAUAAACACACCGCCUGGGGAGUACGACCGCAAGGUUAAAACUCAAAUGAAUUGACGGGGACCCGCACAAGUAGUGGAGCAUGUGGUUUAAUUCGAAGAUACGCGCAGAACCUUACCAACACUUGACAUGUUCGUCGCGACUCUAAGAGAUUAGAGUUUUCGGUUCGGCCGGACGAAACACAGUGCUGCAUGGCUGUCGUCAGCUCGUGUCGUGAGAUGUUGGGUUAAGUCCCGCAACGAGCG
rnacentral:rRNA from 1 species